rnacentral:rRNA from 1 species
GAUGAACGCUGACCGAAUGCUUAACACAUGCAAGUCUUUGGCGAAGCUGUGCUUGCACAGCCUAGCCAAGGCGGACGGGUGAGUAACGCGUGAGGAACUUGCCCUGCAGUCAGGGAUAACAGACGGAAACGACUGAUAAGACCUGGUAAAGUCAGGCGGACUCAUGUCCAGCCUGAUGAAAAGAGAUGCUGCAGGAGAGCCUUGCGUCCUAUUAGCUUGUUGGUGGGGUAACGGCCCACCAAGGCGAUGAUAGGUAGCCGGCCUGAGAGGGUGGACGGCCACAAGGGGACUGAGAUACGGCCCUUACUCCUACGGGAGGCAGCAGUGGGGAAUAUUGGACAAUGGGGGCAACCCUGAUCCAGCAAUUCUGUGUGCACGAUGAAGGUUUUCGGAUUGUAAAGUGCUUUCAGCAGGGAAGAAAAAAAUGACGGUACCUGCAGAAGAAGCGACGGCUAAAUACGUG